rnacentral:tRNA from 1 species
GCUCCGUUCGUCUAGGGGUUAGGACGCAUCCCUUUCACGGAUGAAACACGGGUUCGAUUCCCGUACGGAGUACGA